CAGUCGCCACGGUAACACGUAGGGUGCGAGCGUUAAUCGGAAUUACUGGGCGUAAAGCGAGCGCAGACGGUUAUUUAAGCAGGAUGUGAAAUCCCCGGGCUUAACCUGGGAACUGCGUUCUGAACUGGAUAGCUAGAGUGUGUCAGAGGGGGGUAGAAUUCCACGUGUAGCAGUGAAAUGCGUAGAGAUGUGGAGGAAUACCGAAGGCGAAGGCAGCCCCCUGGGAUAACACUGACGUUCAUGCUCGAAAGCGUGGGUAGCAAACAGGAUUAGAUACCCCCGUAGUCCCUGUCUCUUAUAC
rnacentral:rRNA from 1 species